AGUCCGUAAACACUGCACGUGACUAGAAGUUGUGCGAGCCAUUGGAAGUGCCACCAUCGCGCUACCUCCGGCCCAGGUGGGCGGCUGCUCCACGCGAGUCACGUGCCCGGCCUGUCGCGUGCAGCCGCUCCUCAUUGGUCCGAAGUCUCCCCUGGGACGCCAAUCAAUUGGCCCAAACUUAGCGCCACAAACGAGAGGGCGGCUUCAAUCCCUCCAGAGAGCCAGGCUGGGUGUCCUGACGUGAGGUGGGUCGCGGGAAACGCCCUAAGUCCUGGGCAAGCUUUGGAAAGCCACGGGGAGGCGAGGGGCCUGGCACAAGGCCCCCGAGUUCAGCCCCCAGCUCCGCAGAAAAUUGGUGACUGUAAAUGCAUGGAAGGAUGAGUUAGGAAGCCAGGGGGUUCCAGGCCCGCCUCGGAAGCAGCGUGAUAUCCUGGACAAAACAAGGUGGAAAUUGGACUCCGGGCAGAGUGCUAUACUGCCACUGCUACAUACCCAGUCCUUUUUCAGUUUUAAGGCAAGGUCCUGGCUUGGAACUUGGUGAUUCCGCCAAGGCCUCCUGGGUAAUUGAGAUUGCAGGCAUUUGCCAUUAUGCAUAGCUGUGAAAUUAUAAUAUUAUUUCUACAAAUGCCUCUACCAGGAUUCAAGUUGGAACCUGCUUGAAAGCCUCUUGUGAGAGCUAGAGGAUUAGCUCUCAUAGCAUCUCAGGGUGCUAUGCAAGCUGCCAAGGAAGAGAAGCAAUUAAAAACUCUAUUCAGCUGUAAAGCCUACAAACGAAAAUGACCAGCACAGCAAGAUUGGGUGCAAUAGUGGCACUUUUAUCUCAAGGGUAACCAACAGCCACCUAAUGGACUUCAGGCCUAGAAUCGUGUGGUAGUGUCAACCUACUGCUGCCCUCCUAAACCAGAGUGAUUCCCAACAGCAAUAUAAAUAAUACCUAUCCAUAUGGCCACAAAUACAUGUUUCUGUCUCUCUCUCUCUCUCCCUCUCUCUCUCUCUCUCUCUCUCUCUCUCUUAUACACACACACACACACACACACCAUUAAAGAAGCUUCAUCUGUAGCAGAUGAAGGCCACCACAGUGAUCCACAACUGACCAAAAUGCAAAGGACACCUGACUGGUAUGGUGUCCCUACAGUUGAUACAUCUGCAACACAACCCUUAUAUCUAAGACUCAGGGAACAUUUUGAAAGGGUGGGCAGAAAGAUGGUAAGAAUGAGGGGACCAGGAUGCCUGGUGUACAGUGUUGUCUUGGUAUAUGACAGGGAUCUGCACCCAUAAAAUCUUAACAGUUACUGCCUAAAUAAGACCUGCACAAUGCCAGUUGACAGCCAGACAUGGAUGGGAAUCUCACAAGGCCCAACCUUGAGAUGAAGAGCUACUGGGAAGCAAUAGCAGCUAAGAGAAAGACAAUCAGUCUUUUCCAGGGAUGAGCCCUCUGAUAGAUUAGCCUUCUAAUCUCCAGUGGUUAUUGGUAAACACGUACACUGAUGAGCAACAGUAAAUCAAUUCAGUGGGUUGUAUUUAUAUAUAGAUACAAGUGUGUGUGUGUGUGUGUGUGUGUGUGUGUGUGUGUAACAAUAAUAAAGAAGAUGAGGUCGUGAAGGUGAGAGGAGUUGUUUAAGUACUCAAAAUGUUUUUUUUUAAUUACCCACAAAAUAAUUUUUAAAAAUGUCUCCACUACUGAAAUGAAAAUUAUAUUUUUAUGAGUGUGUCCACUGAUGGAAGAAGAGCUUAUCAUUUUACUAGAUUUAUACUGACCCCUCAAAUACAUACACAAGUGUUUAUUGAUUCACGUAGUAAAUCAAAUCCAAAGGUAUUUAGUCAUAUUUAGUAGAUAGGCAUCUCUAAUUGCUUAUGUUUUGU